rnacentral:rRNA from 1 species
UACAGAGGUCUCAAGCGUUGUUCGGAUUCAUUGGGCGUAAAGGGUGCGUAGGUGGCGCCGUAAGUCGGGUGUGAAAUUUCGGAGCUUAACUCCGAAACUGCAUUCGAUACUGCGGUGCUUGAGGACUGGAGAGGAGACUGGAAUUCAUGGUGUAGCAGUGAAAUGCGUAGAUAUCGAGAGGAACACCGGUGGCGAAGGCGGCUUUCUGGACGAUAACUGACGCUGAGACGCGAAAGCGUGGGGAGCAAACAGG